AUUGAACGCUGGCGGCAGGCUUAACACAUGCAAGUCGAGCGGGGUGAUGGUGCUUGCACUAUCACUUAGCGGCGGACGGGUGAGUAAUGCUUAGGAAUCUGCCUAUUAGUGGGGGACAACAUCUCGAAAGGGAUGCUAAUACCGCAUUCGUCCUACGGGAGAAAGCAGGGGAUCACUUGUGACCUUGCGCUAAUAGAUGAGCCUAAGUCGGAUUAGCUAGUUGGUGGGGUAAAGGCCUACCAAGGCGACGAUCUGUAGCGGGUCUGAGAGGACGACCAGCCACACUGGGACUGAGACACGGCCCAGACUCCUACGGGAGGCAGCAGUGGGGAAUAUUGGACAAUGGGCGCAAGCCUGAUCCAGCAAUGCCGCGUGUGUGAAGAAGGCCCUCGGGUUGUAAAGCACUUUUAGUGGGGAAGAAAAAGUCGGAGAUAAUAUCUCCGAAAAUUGACGUUACCCACAGAAAAAGCACUGGCUAACUCUGUGCCAGCAGCCGCCGUAA
rnacentral:rRNA from 1 species